CAAGCACAAUCGUCCGGCCGUUGGCCCGGGAUUCUGGGCCCGAGGCGCGAAACUUUCAAUGCGGCAACCGUGAUAAGGGGACACCGAGUGCCAGCAACAUUUGCGUGGCUGUCAGGUGCGUAAAAUGCACCUGUUAGCCAAGGGCCGGGCAAGACCGGUGCCAGCCGCCGCGGUACCCGGCGGCCCGAGUGGUGAUCGUUAUUAUUGGGUCUAAAGGGUCGGUAGCCGGUUUGGUCAGUCCUCCGGAAAUCUGUCAGCUCAACUGAUAGGCUUUCGGGGGAUACUGCCAGACUUGGAACCGGGAGAGGUAAGAGGUGCCUACAGGGGUAGGAGUUAAUUUUGUAAUCCCUGGUGGGACCACCUGUGGCCGAAGGCGUCUUUCCCAGAACGGGGUUCGACUGGUGAGGGACGAAAGCUGGGGGGCACGACCCGAUUAAUACCCCGGGAGGCCAGCCCCGUAAACAAUGCUCCUAGGUUGUCACGGAGGUGCGACCGUUUUUUGGUGCCCCAGGGAAAACCGGGAA
rnacentral:rRNA from 1 species